GACGAACGCUGGCGGCGUGCUUAACACAUGCAAGUCGAACGGAAAGGCCUGCUUUCCCUUGUGGAUUGCGGGUACUCGAGUGGCGAACGGGUGAGUAACACGUGAGUGAUCUGCCCCCAACUUGGGUAUAAGCCUGGGAAACUGGGUCUAAUUCCCGAUAGGACUGCAGGGUGGUGCCUGUGGUGGAAAACGAUUUUCUAGUGGUUGGGGAUGAGCUCGCGGCCUAUCAGCUGGUUGGUGGGGUAAUGGCCUACCAAGGCGGCGACGGGUAGCCGGCCUGAGAGGGUGGACGGCCACAUUGGGACUGAGAUACGGCCCAGACUCCUACGGGAGGCAGCAGUGGGGAAUAUAGCACAAUGGGCGGAAGCCUGAUGCAGCGACGCCGCGUGGGGGAUGACGGCCUUCGGGUUGUAAACUCCUUUCGACCGCGAGGAAGCCACCUGGUUGGAAGGGUGGUGACGGUAGUGGUAGAAGAAGCACCGGCUAACUACGUG
rnacentral:rRNA from 1 species